AGGAGCCAGACAUCAACUCCCGGCCACUCGGCCGCGUCCAAGGGCUCACCACCAACGCCGACCUAUCGACGUACGGCGUCCACUUGAACCUCAACUUCUACUUCACGGUGGGGAAGUUGGCCGGCAGCACGCUUAGCAUCCUCGGCCGGAACCAGAUCUUGGACGUAAGAAUUAACACUUUUUACAUAUUUUUAUAUAUAUGGACAUUAUUUGUUUUUGCUAUCUCAAAAUUAAUAAACAUUUUCCAUUUUGCCUAGCUCUUCUUUUAAUUUAGUUACCCCACAUGUUCCAUUAUUUGAUAGUCAAUUAAUAUUUGUUGGAUAACUCUCUAGUCUCUAUAUAAACCCAUCCCUAGAUUCAAAACAAAUCACACCUUCUCUAAAAUCAAAUUACAAAAAAGAAAAAGAAAAAAGAAAACAUGGCUAAGCUAGCAUCUAUUGGUUCUAUUCUAACAAUCUCAUGCCUUCUCGUAUUCACGCAAGAUGUGUACGCGAGAAAGCAAGGCCCCGUCGCGGAGGAAGAGAGCUUCCUCCGCGACAUCUUCCUAGGGAAAGAAAAGAUCGUGAAGAUCCAUUUAUACGUCCAAGAUCUUCAGGUGGGACACCCCAACGCCACCGUGUUCGAGGUGGCGACAUCCUCCAUAACCAAUACGUCUCCGUACAGCUUCGGCAGCAUCCAUGUCCUCGACGACCUGAUCACGGAGGAGCCGGACAUCAACUCCCGGCCGCUCGGCCGCGUCCAAGGGCUCACCACCAACGCCGACCUCUCGACGUUCGGCAUCCACUUGAACCUCAACUUCUACUUCACGGUGGGGAAGUUAGCCGGCAGCACGCUCAGCAUCCUCGGCCGGAACCAGAUCUUGGACGACCAACGGGAGUUUCCGGUGGUCGGCGGCACCGGCAUUUUCCGAUU
rnacentral:lncRNA from 1 species